rnacentral:rRNA from 1 species
UCGAGAAUCUUCCGCAAUGGACGAAAGUCUGACGGAGCGACGCCGCGUGCGGGAUGAAGGCCCUUGGGUUGUAAACCGCUGUCAGAGGGGAUGAAAUCUUCGGAGGUACUCCUCCGAAGUUGACAGAGCCUCAAAGGAAGCACGGGCUAAGUACGUGCCAGCAGCCGCGGUAACACGUACUGUGCGAACGUUAUUCGGAAUCACUGGGCUUAAAGGGUGCGUAGGCGGCGAUUCAAGUCAGAUGUGAAAU